UAGGGAAUCUUCCACAAUGGACGUAAGUCUGAUGGAGCAACGCCGCGUGAGUGAAGAAGGGUUUCGGCUCGUAAAGCUCUGUUGUUAAAGAAGAACGUGGGUAAGAGUAACUGUUUACCCAGUGACGGUAUUUAACCAGAAAGCCACGGCUAACUACGUGCCAGCAG
rnacentral:rRNA from 1 species